rnacentral:lncRNA from 1 species
AAUUACCUACAAAUCGAAUUAGAAUUAUAUCAUAAAUUGUUCAACAAUCAAAACCCCCGUCUCACUCCAAAUCUUGAGAACCCGUCGCCACCGUCGCUGGCAUUAGCUUCGACCGCCACCACCGUUGUCUGCUCCAUCACCAAGCCGCCUUCAGCGAUCUGCCCCCUCCACCUUCCCCCGCCACGAUAUGCCACCUCUCUUCCCCCCUCGCAAUUCGCUGCAAACUCCAACACCACUGCCAUCUGCCCCGUCACCAAGACGCCGCGAACGAUCUGCUCCAUCCACCUUCCCCCGACGCGUUUUGCCUCCUCCAUUUCCCCUCCACCGCCGUCCGCCACCGCGCCUCGCCGCCCCGGCACCCUUCGCGAUCUAUACCCCUUCCGUCUCCACACCAGCUCUCAUUUCCCCCACCGCAGCCAUGGCACAGCCGCCGCCAAUGGCUGCCCUGCGCCUAGCACCACCGCCGUCAAUGGGUGUCUCGCCGGACAUUACUUGGUUCCGGAACGGUUCUUGAUUAGCUAUGGUAAGUAUUUUAUUAAGAAAUAUUAUAUUUGACUAUUGUGAAUAUGGAAUGAUUAGUGUGAAUUUUAAAAAGAACAAAUUUUGGAAAGAAUAAAAUUAUAUACAAUUAUAUGAUUUACCUAUCAAUCAAUAAUCAGUCAAUUCUAGAUACAAUUUAACAAUG